ensembl:lncRNA
AGUGAUACCCGGUCCCACUCAGCAGAGAUUCUGGUGAAAUUGGUUUGGGAUCGGGCUCGCACACCGGUAGGUUGGAAGAGUUCCCCAGGUGAUGCUAAUGUGUAGCUGGGCUUGAGAACCACUGCAAUCGGGGCUGACCAGUGAAGUGAUUUGCUUCUGAUAACCUGAAAACCCGAAUCCACAUGGGUCUGAUCCUCCACUCUGGGGUUCUUCCGACAAACUCAGAGUUCUCCGUGGCUUUGGCAUCUGUCUGAAUCGAAAGCAAAUUCUUGGCGAUCAAGUCUACUCCUCCUUAAUCCAAAGGGAAUCCAAUUCGCUUCAAAUACAGUGCCAAAAGAACUUCUGUUUUUCGUUUUGUUUUGUUUGGUGAGGAAGAUGGGCCUGAGCUAACGUCUGUGCCAGUCUUUCUGUAUUUUGUAUGUGGGAUGCUGCCACAGCAUGGCUUGAUGAGUGCUGUGUAGGUCCUGCCCAGGAUCCGGGCCUGCGAACCCCGGGCUCCCGAGGCAAAGCACGCAAACUUAACCACUACACCACCAGGCCGGCCCCAAGCGCUUCUGGUUUUUGCCUCUCUCUCAAACUGUUCGUGUGUUUCAUGCCUGGGAACUGCAUUCUUCAGCCAAGUUGGAGAAAUCCCUAUAAAAAUAGUCCCCUUUCCUGAGUGCCUGGUGUAGUUAAGGCACUUGACAUGCAGUUUCAUUUAAUCCCCAGAACCCUCUUACGAGGUGAGUUUUGUUGACACCAGUUUAUAGAUGAGCAAACUGACAUGCAGAGAGGCUAAGGAUUCUAACCUGUGUCUAAGCUGAUACAGCUGGGAUUCCAACCCAAGCAUUCAUGUGCUUCCCCUCACCACCUGUGCCUCCCGCGCUGCCCAGAGCACGGGGCAGCUGGCAGACAGUGGCGUUGUGCCCUGGAUCCGCAGAGGAAAGACGACUCUGUGAAGACAGGCUGUGUUAGAGACCACACAGACGGUCAGGUUCCGAGGUUUCAGCGGAGUCAGGAAUAAAGCAGCCUCUUGACAGCAUUUGAUGGAUGAGCUAAAGCAGUGCUUCUCAAACUUGGGUGUGCAUUGGAACCUGGGGGCUCCUUACAGCACGACUGGCUGGGCCCCACCCUCAGAGUUUCUCUGGGUGAGGUCUGAAAAUCUGCAUCUCUCAGGUGAUGGGGCUGCUUCCGGAACUGCACUGUGCACAUCACUGUGCUACAGUAUACUUUUCAAAAGGAUUGAUAUUCUCCAACACAGAGCGGAUCGAUGCACGUAAUUCUUGCAGAUUUCCUUUGGCUUUGCGCCGUGAGGGAGGGAGACAGUUGGAAACGUCCUGAUUUUGAGAGGAAGCCGGUGUUUCCUGAAGCCUUUGUUUUGGGUGCGCCUUAACCGCACCUGCGUUUCUUGCAGCUUCUUACAAAGAAACUUCUUUUUUUGUUUUGAGAGUCAAAAUAGUUGAACUGAAGUUAUUUUCAACCGGAGGGAAAUGUUUGAAAGCUCAGCCUUUGUGAGCCCAAAGAGCAUUGUUUCAUCGACAGUGAUUGAAACAGUCAUUUCCUUUGGGAAGUCUUUGCCAUUGAAGCAAACUUUGAUUUUGGAAGCAAAAGUUUUGGCUUUAAAGAUGGGAUCCAAGUGUUACACCUUCUUCUCAUAGCUCCCCGGCCAUUUAUCGGAGUGCUGUGAUAGUAAGGUUGUUUGCAUUUGAACAGAAAGACCUGCUCUGGCCAGCUGGGCUGAUGCUAAGAGGCAGUAUAGUUCAGUGGUGAGGAGCACAUCCCUUACAGCUGGGCUGCCUGGGUUUGCCUCACUCUGCCACUUGCAAGCUGGAAUCUUCGGCAAAUUACAUAACUGUCCCGAACUUCAGUUUCUGCCUUUAUAAAAUGGGGAUGAAGAUAGUAUUUAUUUCCUAUGAUUUUUUAUAAUUAUUAAUUAACAUAAUAAAAAGUACUUAAAUCCAAUAA